rnacentral:rRNA from 1 species
UACGAGGGGAGCAAGCGUUGUUCGGAUUGACUGGGCGUAAAGCGCGCGUAGGCGGAUUGGCAAGUCAGAGGUGAAAGCCCGGGGCUCAACCCCGGAAUUGCCUUUGGGACUGCUGGUCUUGAGUUCGAGAUAGGUGGGUGGAAUUCCGAGUGUAGAGGUGAAAUUCGUAGAUAUUCGGAGGAACACCAGUGGCGAAGGCGGCCCACUGGCUCGACACUGACGCUGAGGCGCGAAAGCGUGGGGAGCAAACAGG